GUGCUCACUUCAGCAGCACAUAUACUAAAAUUGGAAAGAUACAGAGAAGAUUAGCAUGGUCCCUGCACAAGGAUGACACGCAAAGUUGUGAAGCAUUCCAUAUUUUU
rnacentral:snRNA from 1 species